rnacentral:misc_RNA from 1 species
GAUGAAGAACGCAGCGAAAUGCGAUAAGUAAUGUGAAUUGCAGAAUUCAGUGAAUCAUCGAAUCUUUGAACGCACAUUGCGCCCCUUGGUAUCCCGAGGGGCAUGCCUGUUCGAGCGUCAUUUCACCACUCAAGCCUGGCUUGGUGUUGGGCGACGUCCCCUUUGGGGACGCGCCUCGAAACGCUCGGCGGCGUGGCACCGGCUUUAAGCGUAGCAGAAUCUUUCGCUUUGGAAGUCGGGGCCCCGUCUGCCGGAAGACCUACUCGCAAGGUUGACCUCGGAUCAGGCAGGGAUACCCGCUGAACUUAAGCAUAUCAAUAAGCGGAGA